UGGGGAAUAUUGCACAAUGGAGGGAACUCUGAUGCAGCGACGCCGCGUGAACGAAGAAGGCCUUCGAGUUGUAAAGUUCUUUUAUAUGGGAAGAUAAUGACGGUACCAUAAGAAAAAGCCCCGGCUAACUACGUGCCAGCAGCCGCGGUAAUACGUAGGGGGCUAGCGUUGUCCGGAAUCACUGGGCGUAAAGGGUUCGCAGGCGGAAAUGCAAGUCAGGGGUAAAAGGCAGUAGCUUAACUACUGUAAGCAUUUGAAACUGGAUAUCUUGAGAAGAGUAGAGGUAAGUGGAAUUUUUAGUGUAGCGGUGAAAUUCGUCGAUAUUAAAAAGAAUACCGGUUGCGAAGGCGACUUACUGGGCUCAUUCUGACGCUGAGGAACGAAAGCGUGGGUAGCAAACAGG
rnacentral:rRNA from 1 species